rnacentral:rRNA from 1 species
UACGGAGGGUGCGAGCGUUGUUCGGAAUCACUGGGCGUAAAGCGCGUGUAGGCGGCCCAUUAAGUCUGAUGUGAAAGCCCGGGGCUCACCCCCGGAAGUGCAUUGGAAACUGGUGGACUCGAGUCCCGGAGAGGAGAGUGGAAUUGCCGUGGUGUAGCGGUGAAAUGCGUAGAUAUCGAGGAGGAACACCGGUGGCGAAGGCGGCUCCUCUGGACGGUGACUGACGGCUGAGACGCGAAAGCGUGGGGAGCGAACCGG